AGAUUGAACGCUAGCGGGAUGCUUUACACAUGCAAGUCGAACGGCAGCGCGGACUUCGGUCUGGCGGCGAGUGGCGAACGGGUGGGUAAUAUAUCGGAACGUGCCCAGUAGCGGGGGAUAACUACGCGAAAGCGUGGCUAAUACCGCAUACGCCCUACGGGGAAAGGGGGGGAUUCGUUCGGAACCUCUCACUAUUGGAGCGGCCGAUAUCAGAUUAGCUAGUUGGUGAGGUAAAGCUCACCAAGGCGACGAUCUGUAGCUGUUUGAGAGGGCGAACCGAGCCACACUGGGACUGAGACACGCCCAGACUCCUAACGGGAGGCAGCAGGUGGGGAAUUUUAGGAACAAAGUAGGGGGAAACCCUAGGAUCCAAGCCACGUCCCGACGU
rnacentral:rRNA from 1 species